rnacentral:rRNA from 1 species
GGCUCAGAUUGAACGCUGGCGGCAUGCCUUACACAUGCAAGUCGAACGGCAGCACGGGGCAACCUGGUGGCGAGUGGCGAACGGGUGAGUAAUGCAUCGGAACGUGCCAUUGAGUGGGGAUAACGUAGCGAAAGUUGCGCUAAUACCGCAUAUUCUGUGAGCAGGAAAGCAGGGGACCGCAAGGCCUUGCGCUCUUUGAGCGGCCGAUGUCAGAUUAGCUAGUUGGUGAGGUAACGGCUUACCAAGGCGACGAUCUGUAGCGGGUCUGAGAGGAUGAUCCGCCACACUGGAACUGAGACACGGUCCAGACUCCUACGGGAGGCAGCAGUGGGGAAUUUUGGACAAUGGGGGCAACCCUGAUCCAGCCAUGCCGCGUGAGUGAAGAAGGCCUUCGGGUUGUAAAGCUCUUUCGGCCGGGAAGAAAUCGUAUGGGCUAAUACCCUGUGCGGAUGACGGUACCGGCAUAAGAAGCACCGGCUAACUACGUG